rnacentral:rRNA from 1 species
AACGAACGCUGGCGGCAGGCUUAACACAUGCAAGUCGAACGCCCCGCAAGGGGAGUGGCAGACGGGUGAGUAACGCGUGGGAACAUACCCUUUUCUACGGAAUAGCUCUGGGAAACUGGAAUUAAUACCGUAUACGCCCUACGGGGGGAAGAUUUAUCGGGGAAGGAUUGGCCCGCGUUGGAUUAGCUAGUUGGUGGGGUAAAGGCCUACCAAGGCGACGAUCCAUAGCUGGUCUGAGAGGAUGAUCAGCCACAUUGGGACUGAGACACGGCCCAAACUCCUACGGGAGGCAGCAGUGGGGAAUAUUGGACAAUGGGCGCAAGCCUGAUCCAGCCAUGCCGCGUGAGUGAUGAAGGCCUUAGGGUUGUAAAGCUCUUUCACCGAUGAAGAUAAUGACGGUAGUCGGAGAAGAAGCCCCGGCUAACUUCGUG